rnacentral:rRNA from 1 species
UCGAGAAUUUUUCUCAAUGGGCGCAAGCCUGAAGGAGCGACGCCGCGUGGGGGAUGAAGGGCUUCGGUCCGUAAACCCCUGUCAUCUGGGAACAAUACCUGAUUGUUAACAGCGAUCAGGUUGAUAGUACUGGAAGAGGAAGGGACGGCUAACUCUGUGCCAGCAGCCGCGGUAAUACAGAGGUCCCGAGCGUUGUUCGGAUUCACUGGGCGUAAAGGGUGCGUAGGUGGCUUGGAAAGUCUGAUGUGAAAUCUCGGAGCUCAACUCCGAAACGGCAUUGGAGACUUUUGAGCUAGAGGAUCGGAGGGGAGACUGGAAUUCUUGGUGUAGCAGUGAAAUGCGUAGAUAUCAAGAGGAACACCAGUGGCGAAGGCGAGUCUCUGGACGAAUCCUGACACUGAGGCACGAAAGCUAGGGGAGCAAACAGG